AUUGAACGCUGGCGGCAGGCCUAACACAUGCAAGUCGAGCGAGCGGCGGACGGGUGAGUAAUGUCUGGGAAACUGCAUGAUGGAGGGGGAUAACUACUGGAAACGGUAGCUAAUACCGCAUACCAUCAGAUGUGCCCAGAUGGGAUUAGCUAGUAGGUGGGGUAACGGCUCACCUAGGCGACGAUCCCUAGCUGUUCUGAGAGGAUGACCAGCCCCACUGGAACUGAGACAGGGUCGGGACGCCUACGUGAGGCAGAGGUGGGGAAUAUUUCACAAUGGGAGUAAGCCCGAUGCUGCCAUGACGCGUGUGAAAAGAAGGCCUUCGGGUUGUAAAGCACUGUCAGCGGGGAGGCGUUACCCGCAGAAGAAGCACCGGCUAACUCCGUGCCAGCAGCCGCGGUAAUUC
rnacentral:rRNA from 1 species